rnacentral:rRNA from 1 species
UACGUAGGGGGCAAGCGUUGUCCGGAAUCAUUGGGCGUAAAGCGCGUGUAGGCGGCCCUGUAAGUCCGUUGUGAAAGUCAAAGGCUCAACCUUUGAAAGCCGAUGGAUACUGCAGGGCUAGAGUCCGGAAGAGGCGAGUGGAAUUCCUGGUGUAGCGGUGGAAUGCGCAGAUAUCAGGAGGAACACCAAUAGCGAAGGCAGCUCGCUGGGACGGUACUGACGCUAAGGCGCGAAAGCGUGGGGAGCGAACAGG